rnacentral:rRNA from 1 species
UACGGAGGGUGCAAGCGUUGUUCGGAUUUACUGGGCGUAAAGGGCGCGUAGGCGGUUUUAUAAGUCAUAUGUGAAAGCCCACGGCUCAACCGUGGAAGUGCAUGUGAAACUGUAAGACUUGGGUAUGGGAGAGGAAAGUGGAAUUCCCGGUGUAGAGGUGAAAUUCGUAGAUAUCGGGAGGAAUACCGGUGGCGAAGGCGCCUUUCUGGACCAAUACUGACGCUGAGGCGCGAAAGCGUGGGUAGCAAACAGG